GAUUGGUAAUGACACAUGCCAGGAGGCCUUGUCUGUUUUCCAGUCUGAGGUGAUGGAAGAAAGACGGGACGGAAUCAGGCUGACAGGAGGAGCAGAGGAGAGCCGAGGCGCGCUGACGUCCACAGGAGUGUGCAUCAAACAGACAUGAAUCUGCUCCCUGUGGUGCCGCUACGCUGACGGAUCAUUAGUGCAGCAACACUGCCACUUAGUGGCUGGAUCACAUCUGCAUCCAGACAGUCAUCAGGCACAUGCAGCUGAAGGGAAACACAGCUGGAAUAAAGAGGAAAAUUAAAGGAGCAGCAGUUAAAUUGUUACAUUUAUCCAGCUAUAAAUGACUUCCAGCAGGUUCCUUUAUUGAAAAACUCAAAUGCAUAGCAACAAAACAUAAAUAAAC